CUACGGGUCGCUUCAGUGGGGAAUAUUGGGCAAUGGGCGCAAGCCUGACCCAGCAACGCCGCGUGAGGGAAGAAUGUCUUCGGAUUGUAAACCUCUGUCCUUGGGGACGAAAAAAAUGACGGUACCCAAGGAGGAAGCUCCGGCUAACUACGUGCCAGCAGCCGCGGUAAUACGUAGGGAGCAAGCGUUGUCCGGAAUUAUUGGGCGUAAAGGGUGCGUAGGCGGCGCUGUAAGUCAGAUGUGAAAUCCCCGGGCUUAACUCGGGAGUUGCAUUUGAAACUACAGUGCUUGAGUAAAGAAGGGGUAAGUGGAAUUCCUAGUGUAGCGGUGGAAUGCGUAGAUAUUAGGAGGAACACCAGUGGCGAAGGCGACUUACUGGUCUUUUACUGACGCUGAGGCACGAAAGCGUGGGGAGCAAACAGGAUUAGAUACCCUUGUAGUC
rnacentral:rRNA from 1 species